ensembl:rRNA 5S_rRNA 5S ribosomal RNA
UGCUACAGCCAUACCACCCUGAACACGCCCGAUCUCAUCUGAUCUCAGAAGCUAAGCAGAGUGGGAAAAAGCACAGGAGUAGCAG